rnacentral:rRNA from 1 species
GCGACAGGCCUAACACAUGCAAGGUCGAGGGGCAGCGACAAGGAGCAAUCUGAGGUGGCGACCGGCGCACGGGUGAGUAACACGUAUGCAACCUGCCUGUAAGCGGGGAAUAACCCGUUGAAAGACGGACUAAUACCGCAUAAUACUAAAUUACUGCAUGGUAAUUUAUUUAAACAUUUAUGGCUUACAGAUGGGCAUGCGCAUGAUUAGCUAGUUGGAGAGGUAACGGCUCCCCAAGGCAACGAUCAUUAGGGGUUCUGAGAGGAAGGUCCCCCACACUGGUACUGAGACACGGACCAGACUCCUACGGGAGGCAGCAGUGAGGAAUAUUGGUCAAUGGACGAGAGUCUGAACCAGCCAAGUCGCGUGCAGGAAGAAUGUCCCUAUGGAUUGUAAACUGCUUUUGCAGGGGAAUAAAGUGCAUCACGUGUGAUGUUUUGUAUGUACUCUGCGAAUAAGGAUCGGCUAACUCCGUGCCAGCCGCCGC